CUGCCACUCAACCCACUUCUCUCCUUGCGAAUCCAGGUGUCAUCGGGCUGUUGGCCUUGUACCUGAUGUUCGGCUAUGGAGCCUCUCUCCUCUGCAACCUGAUAGGAUUCGGCUACCCAGCCUACGUCUCGAUCAGGCUGCCACCUUCCUGGGUCUAUCAGAGUUGGGCCUUAGAGAUCAAACAUGUAGUUUGACUCCUUCAGUUUCCAUAUGAUCCAGGACAGAGGUAGCGUAUGUUUCCCAAGGUCUCAGAGGCCAGUUUGGUCUGGAACCAUCAGUGACUACACAGGAAUGUGAAAGCUCAUUGAGGUCAUUUUAGUGCCAAGGCUGACAGAUUAAAUAUGUGUAGAGUCCAG